AGUGAACGCUGGCGGUAGGCCUAACACAUGCAAGUCGAACGGCAGCACAGUAAGAGCUUGCUCUUACGGGUGGCGAGUGGCGGACGGGUGAGGAAUACAUCGGAAUCUACUUUUUCGUGGGGGAUAACGUAGGGAAACUUACGCUAAUACCGCAUACGACCUACGGGUGAAAGCAGGGGAUCUUCGGACCUUGCGCGAUUGAAUGAGCCGAUGUCGGAUUAGCUAGUUGGCGGGGUAAAGGCCCACCAAGGCGACGAUCCGUAGCUGGUCUGAGAGGAUGAUCAGCCACACUGGAACUGAGACACGGUCCAGACUCCUACGGGAGGCAGCAGUGGGGAAUAUUGGACUAUGGGCGCAAGCCUGAUCCAGCCAUACCGCGUGGGUGAAGAAGGCCUUCGGGUUGUAAAGCCCUUUUGUUGGGAAAGAAGAGCAGCAGGUUAAUACCCCGCUGUUCUGACGGUACCCAAAGAAUAAGCACCGGCUAACUUCGUG
rnacentral:rRNA from 1 species